rnacentral:lncRNA from 1 species
CAUGAAUGACCAAAAGUAUCAAAAGCAGUAAACCUACAGUUUUUGAGGAUGCAAGUCCAACUGUAGCCCUCAACAAAGUGAGCUAUCUAUCGACUAUCCUGAGCCUGGAAUGGAUGGAAAGGAGGGUGGUGAGAUUAUAUAAUCUCAGUGAGUAAACAAAUACCAUCUAAAAUAUCUUAAGCUGAGUAAAUAGAGACAGAUAAAAUAGAUUAGCAUAGAAAUGAUUCACAGCAUUUCGAACUCAUUUUAAUCAGAUAAAAUAGAUUCAUUUCACCAAAAUAAACAACGAAGCUUAUGAUUUCCUAAAAAGUUUGGCUCGUGCAAAAAUCAUUCUCAUACUCAGUUAUCAAGGAUACCUUGAUCGAGGGUUAUCCCAAUCGAGUCCGCCAAGGCUGUUAAAAAGUUAUGUACGCAUAAAUCAUGUUUUUAUUUUGAAAACAUAGCCGUUCCUUGGCGUUGGCUGAGUUCACCCUCACGUGGUGGUUUGGCGUGAAGUGAACUCUAAAGUUUUAACCUCAGGAGUUAUCCAACCGUGCCUUUCAUACUAAGGUAUGAAAAUAAUAGGGUUACCGUGCCCCUCAAUAGGCUGGUCCACGGAACCCGUCCAUUGCAGCGACCAAUUAUAAUCCACCAAUUCAAUAAAAUUCAACAGCAUGACAUGGCAAUUAUUUUAUUUUAGAGCCUCUUAAGGCAAAUCAACAGUUCAUACAAUUUCAGCACAUUUACCAAUUUAGCCAUUUAUGCAAAUAUUAUCAUAAGCCAUUCGAUUCAAACCAUGAAUUUACAACACAUGAAAACAGUCUCUAAUUACUCUAUUUUCAAACCAUCAUUUCAUUUAAUCACAUUUUGUUUAUAAAACAUAAAGAUUUACCAUUUAAACUCAUUUUCCAUAAAAUUCACAAAAUCGAAUAAAAACUACUUUAGAUAAUUAAGACAAUAGUAAGGUUACUCAUUAUUUCGGGAGUCGAAUUCCGAGUGUUUCGAUUCUUGAUCCUCGGGUACUAUCUCUUUACUCUUGCCAGAAUGCUCACCACCUAGACAUAAUGCACAAUAAGCCAUUUACUACAUUUGUGUUAAAUUGUUAUAAAACCAAUUCGGGCUUUAUACUAAUGCAUGAAAUGGGAUGUGAAAUACUCAGGUAACCAUCUAAAUACGGUGUUCAAUAUAAAUUCAAUUAUGUACUUAAAUAAAACGGUAUUGGCCUAAUUCGAUCUAUCACUCGAUUAAUUAGCCAAUAUGUCCAAUUCAACUCCAAUUAAUUUCAUUUUUCUCCCAAUACCCCAAAUCAUCAAACACAAAUUAAAUAACUUGAAAUAUGGCAAAAUCAUCCUCACAUUUUCUCUUGGAAAAUUCGGCCAUGGUGGGUUCAUCAACACUAUGAUUUUUCCUACUUGAUUUUCUCACCAUAAUUCAUUAUUUCCUAACAAAUUCACCUAAAAUAAAAUCAAAUCCACUAUCAACACUCGACAAGGAAGAUUCGGCCAAUGAUGAACUCAUGAGGAAUAUGUGAAUUUCAAGCUUAAUGUUUACACUUAACACCAUAAACAACUAAAAACAUCCAUAUAUCUUAAAUAUCUAUCUAAAUCAUCAUCAAAUUCUCUCUCCUAGGGUUUGAUCAACACACUAUCCUUCAUGAUAUCUUGUGAUUCAANNNNNNNNNNNNNNNNNNNNNNNAUCUAUCUAAAUCAUCAUCAAAUUCUCUCUCCUAGGGUUUGAUCAACACACUAUCCUUCAUGAUAUCUUGUGAUUCAACCAUGGAAAAUGCAAAAUAAUGCAUAGGAAAGAUAGAUCACAAGCUAGAGUUAAGAAAUUUCGCCUUUGAUGGCUUGAUUACUUGAAAUCCACCAAUUUUCUCUUGAAUUUUCACUCUAGGGUUUUUUUUCUUCUUUUCUUCCUUUGUUCUUGCUAUGG